GACGACGCUGGCGGCGUGCUUAACACAUGCAAGUCGAACGAGUGGCGAACGGGUGAGUAAUGUCUGGGAAACUGCCUGAUGGAGGGGGAUAACUACUGGAAACGGUCGCUAAUACCGCAUCCCAUCCGAUGUGCCCAGAUGGGAUUAGCUCGUAGGGGGGGUACUGGCUCACCUAGGCGACGAUCCCUAGCUGGCAUGAGAGGAUGACCGGCCACACUGGAAAGGAGACAGGGUCCGGACUCUUACGGGAGGCAGCAGUGGGGAAUAUUGCACAAGGGGCGCAAGCCGGAUGCAGACAUGCCGGGUGUGUGAAGAAGGCCUUCGGGUUGUAAAGCACUUUCAGCGAGGAGGCGUUACUCGCAGAAGAAGCACCGGCUAACUCCGUGCCAGCAGCCGCGGUAAUUC
rnacentral:rRNA from 1 species